CACACCAUGGCAAAACAUAUUUUAUUUCCUCAUAUGAUCUCACCUAAUCGCCCAUACUGCUACAAGCAUUUGUUUAGCACAAAGCUUAUCCUGCAGAAGCACAGUGAUUUUGCAAUGAAGUGAUUGUGCUUUUGGUGGUUGGGAAAUUCUGAAAGGCAAAUUAAGAACCCCUUUCCUGAGGCCAUUUUGCCAGAGUGCUCUCUUGCUGUAGGCAAUGCUCGUUUCCUUGUUAGCCUCUUCAAGAAAGCUAAACGCUCCAAUUAAACAAUUAUGCUGGUCUCUGCAUUAGAAACCUCAAUCCCAUCCAUGAGUCUCUUAAAUGCUCCGUGAUUCAUCAGAGUUUUCUGCUUUUGCAGACCACUUGGCAGGAGGAGCACACGCUGCUGGAGUGCAAGAGCUUUGUUCAGAGCAGGGGAGGUGAAGCUCUGACUGCUAUUUUGGAUCUCACCUGGAAAAACCUAAGCUGAGUAGAAAAGUGUAAUUAUUUUAUCUACACACCCUCUUCCCCUCUGUAUGCUCUUGCAUCUAUGAGUUGGAUGAAGGCACGUUUUGGUUUUGGGCUUUUUUUCAGGAAUAAAAAUACUCUGUGUACCUCCUGGGAAGUUGUGGAUGAAACAUUGCUCAAGGCUUAGGCUGCAAGCCAAGUUACAGAGAAUCAGUUCUGUAUUCUGAGCUAUACUGAAUGCAUUCUAGUUAGGAAACAAUGACCAUUUUGCAAUAUUUGUCUUAAAAUCCUUCUGAACAAAGUUCUUUAGAUUUGCCUAAUGCUUUUUACUUUUGUUAAAGUCGUUAGGUGAUAUAAAGAUCUAUCAGACAUUGUCUGAAAGAAGAAAGAGGCCACCUAGUGCUGAAUUACAGACUGCUGUAGAGGACUAUCUGCUUGGAUGGUGGAUCCACUGCUUAUCAUAAAAACUGAGUCUUUCAGCUCCUGGAAGUCCAUGCAGCCUUCAGAAAACAAUCCCAAUGGCAUGUACAGCACCGACAAAAUCAAUAUCAGAAGCAGAAACGGAACUUUAAAAACCCAGGCACACUCCUGCACUGAUACUGCUACAUUUAGUAAGAGAAGAUUGAGGUGCAUGCUAACCUUGACCUGAAUGCCA